UCCGGUUUUGCAAACUUGUCUCGCGCAUUCUAGCCCAGGUAAGGUUCUUCGCGUUGCGUCGAAUUAAACCACAUGCUCCACCGCUUGUGCGGGUCCCCGUCAAUUCCUUUGAGUUUCAGUCUUGCGACCGUACUCCCCAGGCGGAUGACUUAACGCGUUAGCUCCGGCACAUCGGGACUAAAAACCCGACACACCAAGUCAUCAUCGUUUAAGGCUAGGACUAC
rnacentral:misc_RNA from 1 species